rnacentral:rRNA from 1 species
UGGCGAACGGGUGAGUAACACGUGAGGAACCUGCCCCGAAGACCGGGAUAACCCUCCGAAAGGAGAGCUAAUACCGGAUACCCCCAUCAGAUCGCAUGGUCAGAUGAGGAAAUGGAUUCCGCUUCGGGAGGGCCUCGCGGCCUAUCAGCUUGUUGGUGGGGUAACGGCCCACCAAGGCAUCGACGGGUAGCUGGUCUGAGAGGACGAUCAGCCACACUGGGACUGAGACACGGCCCAGACUCCUACGGGAGGCAGCAGUGGGGAAUCUUGCGCAAUGGGCGAAAGCCUGACGCAGCAACGCCGCGUGGGGGAUGAAGGCUCUCGGGUUGUAAACCCCUUUCAGUGGGGACGAAAUUGACGGUACCCACAGAAGAAGCCCCGGCCAACUACGUGCCAGCAGCCGCGGUAACACGUAGGGGGCAAGCGUUGUCCGGAUUUAUUGGGCGUAAAGAGCUCGUAGGCGGUUCGGUAAGUCGGGUGUGAAACCUCCAGGCUCAACCUGGAGACGCCACCCGAUAC